AUGGACUCUACUAGCUUGGGUUCUCCCAGAUUGCAAUUUCGUGAAGUGGGUUUUUGGCAAAAGCUUCCAAAAUUCCAGCUUCACUCGUCCGUGGCGCCAAAUUCUUUUUCAGCCCCAAAAGUUAAGUGUGGCCUCCGAAAGGGAACCAGGAAGCCCUUGUGGAGGUCAAGAGUGCUUUCGAAUGAAGCCAUUCAGGCAGUUCAGUCCUUGAAGUUGGCCAAAUCAAACCCAUCAAAACUUGAGGAGGUCUUCAAUGGCAGAGUCGCUAGGCUGCUGAAAGCUGACUUAUUGGACGCCUUGGCUGAGUUACGGAGACAGAAUGAACUGGACUUGGCCCUUCAGGUCUUCAAAUUCAUGCAGAAGGAAGUAUGGUAUAAACCAGAUCUCUCCCUAUACUGUGACAUGAUUCUCUUGUUGGGAAAGAGCAAACUGAUUGAAUUUGCUGAAGAGCUUUUCUCUGAACUUAAAAAAGAAGGCUUGAAACCUGACACAAGGGCAUUUACUGAAAUGAUUGGAGCAUAUAUACAUGUUGGUAGGAUUGAUAAGGUAAUGGAGACUUAUGGAUUGAUGAAGGCAUCAGGUUGUACCCCAGAUGAAUUAACCUUCAGAAUAUUGAUCAAGAACCUUGAGAAGGUAGGAGAAGAAGAGCUACUAGCAUCCAUAAAGAAAGAAGUUGCUGAAUAUGUUGAUUCUCCUGAGCAAUUUCUUCGAGAAGUAGCAAAGAAACAUCCAAAGAGGAGAUCACUAAAUCUUGUUUGACAAUUUCCAUACUCAGACUAGAAGAGUAUUGUUAUGCAAUGAUAGAAUCGGUCACCACCAAGAUGACAUGCAGUUCCAAGCUCCUGUCUGGAACUCUCCUCAUGACAUUGAUGAAAUAUUAAGUACGGUUGCACAGAGUUAUCAUGAAUUUUACCGUGUUGCAGUUGAAUUAGAGGACUUGUCUGUAUCCAUUUCUUCGAUGGGAAUUGGAACUUCAUUUGGUAUUAUUGGAAAACUUGAUCUAUGAAAAGGUUUUCAAGAACUUUGGAUGCUACUCGUGCCUUAUAUUUUCCAUGUAGGGGAAUACAAAUGAACAGUUGAAGUUUAUUACAUGUAAGAUGCAUUGUAAAUCAUACCUUUUUUAGAUGAAGAUCAAUCACUCUCUGUUGAUCACCUUGGCGCCGAAAGCAUGGUUCAGAACACUUUUGGAGAUGAGAGAAGCACGAAGAAGCUCUAGGGCCUGCACGAAUCAAAUUCCCAACUCAAUUAACUUCAUUCAUAGCAAAAAAGCUGACUUCUAUAUUUUUCCUAGGAAUUUCUUUCGCACAGAUUUCAAAUUUAUCACGAAAAAAGACAACUUAGUUUCUUGUCAAUGCCAUUUGAAUGAUUGAUUUUACAAGUAACUUACCUCCUCUUAUGAUUGAUUUUACAAGUAACUUACCUCCUCUUCUCCCACUUUAACAGGCAUGGAUUUCAUGUCACUGAAGGGAAUAUCGCCAAGCUUGGAAAUGUCAGAGGCAGCCGAAAAAGGUUUAAUCUCAAGAUUGUCGGUGACCAACAGUUUACAUCCUUUGACAAAAGCACCACCUGGUGUAAUGCCAGGCCAUUUGGGAUUGAUUAUGUGGAGUGUCUGGUUGAAAUGUUCACAUGCUUUGAUAUUCCGGAACAUCCAGCAAGUACAGUUGUUGUAUGCCAAAGAUGAUGGCAUUGUCUCUUCCUGGAUUUGGAGCAGUUGGUAAUAGCAACCAAACAUGCGUUCUAGUUUUGGACUAA